rnacentral:lncRNA from 1 species
GAACAGCGGUGUCUUCCUGUAGGAAGCACGUUUAAUUAAUUUGAGACAGAGUUUAUCAUCAGUUUCCUUAAAUUGUCCAGUCGUGCCAUUACUGAGAAUAUGUUUAAAAGUCAAUAUUAUUCCGGAGAUAGGGAGAGAUGACAAAGUAGGGUCAAUAAAGCCAUGUCCUCUAGCUCACUCUGUGCCUAGCUAUGCGAUUCAUCCAUGAAAUGAACCUGGUGCCCAGGAAAAACAUAAUUCUCUUUGGCACUGAGACAGGAGGGUAGUGCUCCAGCACAGAGAAGACACUUGGCAAUGACAUACACAAUGCUUCCGACCACAUCCUUACAGGAAAGGAGCAAAUGUAUUACAGGGUCGAUUCUUUGUCACCGUGGCCCCAUGGCCUCACACCAGGAAUGAAAGGAGCCAGCCAGUUAGUGGCAAUUCUUUUGAACAGUCUUGUUUAUUCCGAGAUUAGCUUGGAGGAUACUGAAGGUGUUUAUUUUCAAAUGUGCUUUUAAUCUCCUCAGGCCAUGUCCUCAAUCCUGUCAGAUGGGAAUGACCGGAGCUUCCUCCCUGAUGGCAGGCAGGGCUGCAUAAGGUGAACCCAUGGAAACCACCCAGCAGGCCUGGAAGAGGAGAUGAGCAGGACAGGUGAUGGAACUGGACCUCCACAUCUGGGCCUAGUUGUUGGCCUUCUCUUCUGCUUUGGGGUCCUGCCUUCAGCGAUGAGACUUUCAAAGACGACAUUGUUUCCUGGACAGUAAUGGUUUUCACAGUUCUUUGAUUUCCUUGAACACCCGAAGAAGCAGGAGACCUUGUAAUUCCAUGUGUCUCAUCAUUUCUGCAGACAUACCUGGAGAGCCGAGCUUUCCCACUGAGCUCUAGACUUAGCUUUUAAUUUUUCAAGCUAUUUGAAAGUCUAAAUAAACUUCCCCUCUGUGAGCGUCUCUUUCAUCAACUUCCACGACUCACUUCUUAACACGAAGAUGCUAAUAUUCGAAAAUGAUUAUACGAAUGAGUGAACGAAUUCGCUUUGCUUUUGGCUCCGGCACUGUAUUUGAUGUGAAAGCAACUGCAUCCAAUUCUUUUUCCACCUCAGUUGUGAAAUUAAGGUACACAUUUUAUUUUAUAGUUUGCAGGGGAACGGGGAAACGGCUGGAGUAAAUG